rnacentral:rRNA from 1 species
GGGUUGUGAGGUUAAGCGACUAAGCGUACACGGUGGAUGCCCUGGCAGUCAGAGGCGAUGAAGGGCGUGCUAAUCUGCGAUAAGCGCCGGUAAGGUGAUAUGAACCGUUAUAACCGGCGAUACCCGAAUGGGGAAACCCAGUGUGAUUCGUCACACUAUCAUUAACUGAAUCCAUAGGUUAAUGAGGCGAACCGGGGGAACUGAAACAUCUAAGUACCCCGAGGAAAAGAAAUCAACCGAGAUUCCCCCAGUAGCGGCGAGCGAACGGGGAGGAGCCCAGAGCCUGAAUCAGCAUGUGUGUUAGUGGAAGCGUCUGGAAAGGCGCGCGAUACAGGGUGACAGCCCCGUACACAAAAGCGCAUAUGCUGUGAGCUCGAUGAGUAGGGCGGGACACGUGGUAUCCUGUCUGAAUAUGGGGGGACCAUCCUCCAAGGCUAAAUACUCCUGACUGACCGAUAGUGAACCAGUACCGUGAGGGAAAGGCGAAAAGAACCCCGGCGAGGGGAGUGAAAAAGAACCUGAAACCGUGUACGUACAAGCAGUGGGAGCCCCACCACUAAGCCAGUGGUGAACUCCACAUACGCAUCCUUUGCUGAGGAGACGGUUAACGGAGCGAAAGCGACGUUCAACCUCAAAAGAAGCAGAGGGGGCUUAGUGGUGGGGUGACUGCGUACCUUUUGUAUAAUGGGUCAGCGACUUAUAUUCUGUAGCAAGGUUAACUGUAUAGGGGAGCCGGAGGGAAACCGAGUCUUAACCGGGCGUUAAGUUGCAGGGUAUAGACCCGAAACCCGGUGAUCUAGCCAUGGGCAGGUUGAAGGUUGGGUAACACUAACUGGAGGACCGAACCGACUAAUGUUGAAAAAUUAGCGGAUGACCUGUGGCUGGGGGUGAAAGGCCAAUCAAACCGGGAGAUAGCUGGUUCUCCCCGAAAGCUAUUUAGGUAGCGCCUCGUGAAUUCAUCUCCGGGGGUAGAGCACUGUUUCGGCUAGGGGGCCAUCCCGGCUUACCAACCCGAUGCAAACUGCGAAUACCGGAGAAUGUUAUCACGGGAGACACACGGCGGGUGCUAAUGUCCGUCGUGAAGAGGGAAACAACCCAGACCGCCAGCUAAGGUCCCAAAGUCAUGGUUAAGUGGGAAACGAUGUGGGAAGGCCCAGACAGCCAGGAUGUUGGCUUAGAAGCAGCCAUCAUUUAAAGAAAGCGUAAUAGCUCACUGGUCGAGUCGGCCUGCGCGGAAGAUGUAACGGGGCUAAACCAUGCACCGAAGCUGCGGCAGCGACACCGUGUGUUGUUGGGUAGGGGAGCGUUCUGUAAGCCUGUGAAGGUGUGCUGUGAGGCAUGCUGGAGGUAUCAGAAGUGCGAAUGCUGACAUAAGUAACGAUAAAGCGGGUGAAAAGCCCGCUCGCCGGAAGACCAAGGGUUCCUGUCCAACGUUAAUCGGGGCAGGGUGAGUCGACCCCUAAGGCGAGGCCGAAAGGCGUAGUCGAUGGGAAACGGGUUAAUAUUCCCGUACUUGGUGUUACUGCGAAGGGGGGACGGAGAAGGCUAUGUUGGCCGGGCGACGGUUGUCCCGGUUUAAGCGUGUAGGUAUGUGUUCCAGGUAAAUCCGGUUCACUUUAACACUGAGGCGUGACGACGAGGCACUACGGUGCUGAAGCAACAAAUGCCCUGCUUCCAGGAAAAGCCUCUAAGCAUCAGGUAACAUCAAAUCGUACCCCAAACCGACACAGGUGGUCAGGUAGAGAAUACCAAGGCGCUUGAGAGAACUCGGGUGAAGGAACUAGGCAAAAUGGUGCCGUAACUUCGGGAGAAGGCACGCUGACACGUAGGUGAAGUGAUUUACUCACGGAGCUGAAGUCAGCCGAAGAUACCAGCUGGCUGCAACUGUUUAUUAAAAACACAGCACUGUGCAAACACGAAAGUGGACGUAUACGGUGUGACGCCUGCCCGGUGCCGGAAGGUUAAUUGAUGGGGUCAGCGCAAGCGAAGCUCCUGAUCGAAGCCCCGGUAAACGGCGGCCGUAACUAUAACGGUCCUAAGGUAGCGAAAUUCCUUGUCGGGUAAGUUCCGACCUGCACGAAUGGCGUAAUGAUGGCCAGGCUGUCUCCACCCGAGACUCAGUGAAAUUGAACUCGCUGUGAAGAUGCAGUGUACCCGCGGCAAGACGGAAAGACCCCGUGAACCUUUACUAUAGCUUGACACUGAACAUUGAGCCUUGAUGUGUAGGAUAGGUGGGAGGCUUUGAAGUGUGGACGCCAGUCUGCAUGGAGCCGACCUUGAAAUACCACCCUUUAAU